rnacentral:rRNA from 1 species
CAGCAGCCGCGGGAAUACGUAGGUGGCGAGCGUUAUCCGGAAUUACUGGGCGUAAAGCGUGCGCAGGCGGUUGUGUAAGACAGGUGUGAAAUCCCCGGGCUUAACCUGGGAACUGCGCUUGUGACUGCACAGCUAGAGUAUGGCAGAGGGGGGUGGAAUUCCACGUGUAGCAGUGAAAUGCGUAGAGAUGUGGAGGAACACCGAUGGCGAAGGCAGCCCCUUGGCCUGCACUGACGCUCAUGCACGAAAGCGUGGGGAGCAAACAGGAUUAGAGACCCCCGUAGUCCCUGUCUCUUAUACA